UAACACGAUCAUACCAGCACUAAUGCACCGGAUCCCAUCAGAACUCCGUAGUUAAGCGUGCUUGGGCGAGAGUAGUACUAGGAUGGGUGACCUCCUGGGAAGUUUUCCCAGGAAGCGUGCGAG